AGAUCAGGCAUUGCUACAGCAGGCUGGGGACAGAAUAAAAAGGAGGGAAAAAAAAGCCUUUUAACAAGAUACAAGAGCAGUGAAGAGGAACUCUUCUGUGAGAAGGGUACCUAACUGAGACUGGGAGAGAAGGUGAAUAGCCGGAAUGAAGAUUUCUGAAGACAUAGAGACACACAGGAGCAAUACCAGGAGUAAAGCAAGCUGAGAGCCGGAACAAUAUAAGAAAAGAGCCUACCAUGUGCCAGAGGACAACUUCAAUAAAAAACACCAGGUCAGCGGAUAAGACCAUGUCACUCACAGGUUUGUGACUUGAGGCCUGAGCACCAAUGAUCCACUCCACAUCAGUGGAGAAUGUUGGAAAGUAAGGACGCUGUGGACAUUUUCUGAAGUUGGAGAAAUGGAAUGGUGGAGAAGCCAGUAUUGGGGUACCAUGAGUGGAGCAGAGUUGACUACAAAUCUCAAUAAAGCUUUUCAACUGUAUACCUAACUGCAAAGUCAUUUACUCACAACAAGCAAAAAAAUAAAUAUAUACUUAUCUCCCUUCCAAAUUUAAUCCUUUGACAAUAGAUAAUAAUGAAAUGAACUUAUUCUCUUCAGCUUCCAGGAUGAUACAGCUUCUAGAUAAAACUUCUGGGCUAAUCUUAUUAUUGCAUAACGUUCCUACUCAGGGUAAAAGAAUGACUAAGAAGUGUUGUGAAAGAAUCUUGCUUCUGGGGUCUCCACGGAAUCACACAUCCCACUGUCUCUGCCCCACUUCCCUUCUCUCCCUCAGGCAGCUGAUGACUUGGGCCUGCUGUGAUUUCUCCCUCCGCUAAACUGUCCACUCCACUCACUCAUCACUUAAAACUCUCUCAACUUUGUUAUCUUUGUACAGCACAAGUCUUGUCUUUUCAAUAGAUUUCGAACACCUUAUGAGCAAGAAAUAUGAAUUACACCUUUUAACAUCUGAAAUUGCUCCUAACUAUAUAGGUGCUUAACAAAUGUUCAUAUCUUUAUUAAAUUAGAUGUUAGAUUGAAGUAGCAGUUUAGUGCCAUGGUCAUGAUUAUGGCCUUUGGAGACACCCUAACCAGGGUUUGGACACCUUACCAACUGUGUUACAUUGGGCACGAUAUUUAACUUGUCUCAGCCUAUGUUCUUAUACUGUAGAAUGUAGAUAAUAUCUUACCACAUAGGACUGUAAGAAAUAAAGGAGAUGAUGGUCCCACAUAUAAAAGUACUUCACAUAGUUUCUGACCCUUGAUAAGCACUCAAUAAGUGAUGGCGAUCACUAUUAAUUUUGUUAUUUACUGAGAAAAGCCAGAAUAAAUCAACAGACAGUAUAGCAUGGAGUCAUUAAGAAGGAAAGAUUCAGGCUGGGCAAAGGGGCUUUCGCCUGUAAUCCCAGAACUUUGGGAGGCCAAGUCAGGUGGAUCACUUGAGGCCAGGAGUUCAAGACCAGCAUGGCCAACAUGGUGAAACCCCAUCUCUACUAAAAAUACAGAAAUUAGCAGGUAUGGUGCGGUAUGCCUGUAAUCCCAGCUACUCGGGAUCCUGCAGUGGGAGAAUCACUUGAACUCCGGAGGUGGAGGUUGCAGUGAGCUGAUAUCGCACCACUA
rnacentral:lncRNA from 10 species